AUGAAUACCUAUAUUAGUAUCAAAUGUUUUAGAAAAGCAGCUUUUGUUUACAUUGUGAACUUUUAUUUAAGGCCAAAUUGUAGACAAGUAGACAUAGGAAUGGGCCGGAGGAACAAGCCAAGGGCAACAAGACCAGAAAUAGGUGAUAAAUUGGUAACACCUGACCCUCAUCCAAUGGUUGUGGGAGCAGUGAAAUGUGUACUACCCAGGAAGACUGCCUUAAACUUACUUAAGGCUUGUGAAGUAACCACAAACAUCCAAAGUCCUGUCUCCAAUACGUAUGAGAGAUUAGAUAAUAGAGUGGUGAAAAUCUGUGUCAAUCUAUGGCCUGUCCUGGCUUCAGCAAAAGAGCCUGUAGAGGAAAGCAGUAGUUCGCUGGAUGAAGAGGAAGCUGGGACCAGUACAGAUACAAGGACCUUCAACACAUCAAAGUCUGGUGAGCAGCGUCCGAGAGACCAAGAAAGGAGACCCCAUGUUAGACAAGAAUUGGACAGGGCUAAAGCAAGCUGUCUAGUGAAGCCUAUUUUACUACCACCCAUAAGUAAACUAUCCUUUACAACACGACAAGCACAUUCAGAGUGCAUGGGAAUGCCAGUGCCACACACAUCUCUGCCACAGAUAUGUGUAUCAGACCAAGAUGCCUUGGUCAAAUCCUCCAAGGGGACAAAAGCCAUUGAGAAUAAGGCACAAUUUCCCAUGAUCCUAUUGCAGAAGACCAGCACUUUGAUGGACAGCACCAUUAUCUCCCAAUGUAGGUCUGCCCAGGUUCACCUCCCUGAGAUCUCAGUGUCCAGUAUAGAAGGCCUGCUUCAGAGAGUUGCAGAGCGAGUGGGAAGGAGAGAGAGAAAGAGGGAUGAGACAUCGGGACUGACCAAUCCUGAUCAUCUUCUCAUGGCUGGCGCACUGCAAAACCUGAGAGAGAAGAGGCUCCAGCAUCGGGGAGACUAUAGCUCAGAGGAUGCGGUAAGAUGUCCAGAGGUCAAGCCAAUCAGUGGACAGAAAGGGACCACUCUAGUAACAGAGAAUGGAAUGCAGAACCCUGCCUCCCUCUGCAAUAAAACCAAACUGCCUGUCAUCCUUAGUAUGACCAAAGGAAGCCUUUGA
rnacentral:lncRNA from 13 species